GCGGGUAUAGUAUAAUGGUAUUAUGUCACUCUUCCAAGGUGAAAACGCGGGUCCGAUUCCCGCUACCCGCU
rnacentral:tRNA from 1 species